UCCGUAGGCGGUCUUUUAAGUCAGUGGUGAAAUCCCAGAGCUCAACUCUGGAACUGCCAUUGAAACUGAAAGACUUGAAUAUGGUUGAGGUAGGCGGAAUACGUUAUGUAGCGGUGAAAUGCAUAGAUAUAACGUAGAACACCAAUUGCGAAGGCAGCUUACUAAACCAUUAUUGACGCUGAUGGACGAAAGCGUGGGGAGCGAACAGGAUUAGAUACCCUGGUAGUCC
rnacentral:rRNA from 1 species